UGUCCUGCAGGCCGCACAGAAGAAGGUGGUGUCGCAGGUCCAGAAGAAGGCCUUCAUAGAGAACACAGUUCCUCUCAUCAUCAGCCUGAAGAGCCUGCUGGAGCAGAAACGCUCUCCUGUGCUCCGAGACCUCAUGUCCUACCUUCAGGUGACCAUGCAAGAACAUCGUAACAG